AGGACGAACGCUGGCGGCGUGCUUAACACAUGCAAGUCGGGCGGAAAGGCCAUUUCGGUGGUACUCGAGCGGCGAACGGGUGAGUAACACGUGAGUAAUCUGCCCCUGGCUUUGGGAUAGCCACCGGAAACGGUGAUUAAUACCGGAUACGACCCGCCCUCGCAUGGGGGUGUGUGGAAAGUUUUUCGGCCAGGGAUGUGCUCGCGGCCUAUCAGCUUGAUGGUGGGGUAAUGGCUCACCAUGGCUUCGACGGGUAGCCGGCCUGAGAGGGUGACCGGUCACACUGGGACUGAGACACGGCCCAGACUCCGUACGGGAGCAGCAGGUGGGGAAUAGUGGACAAGUGGGCGGAGGCCCGAUCCGAGCAACGCCGCGUGAGGAUGACGGUCCGUUGGUUGUAACCUCUUCAGUACCGACGAAGCGGAAGUGACGGUAGGACAAGAAGAGCACCGACAACACGUGCCAGCA
rnacentral:rRNA from 1 species